rnacentral:siRNA from 1 species
GUGAAUCGGAGGCGGGGUACAA